UUCUGGAACAACUCGAUUGACUUGAUCAAUUAAUUCGUUGAUUGAAUCCACUGAAUACUUUCGUACGUCCUGACGUCCUGUGCACUGGUCUGGUUCACGAACGACUCGAACUGAAAUAAUUCUUUGAAUCCUUUGCUUGAUAAUAUACUUGAUCAGUCAUUCCGGGUUAGGUGUUGCCACUACACCAUAAGUGGCCUAUUGUAACAGCCAAAAAAGUGUGAAUAAAGGUCAGAAAGUGUUGCUGAAAGUGAAAAAAAGGGCUAUGGUAACACUUUUUCCAGAAACAGGAUCGUAACUAAAAUCGGUGCUACCAUAGGGGUCUAGGGUAACACUUUUUCAAUUUUCGGUUACACAUGAAAAAGUGUGACUAUAUAACUCUAUGCCUACACUUUGUUUUGUUGUGGUAACAUUAAAAGAACUGUAACUAUAGACCUAUGGUAACAACACCGUGGUAUUUGUAACAUCACCUAUGGUGUAACCAUAAGACCUAUAGUAACACCAUCUAUGCUAUGGUUACACUUGUAUACAAACCUUUUUUGCCUUUAGCUAUAUUUUUUGAAUCUUUACCAACAUGUUUUAGAUAUUUAGCAACAGAGAAAUAUGAACCAUUUACAGGAAUAACUACACUUUACAGGACUCUCUGCCAACACAUUAUAGGAAAAAAAAGACAAUAUAGCAUUUGAAAAUAGCACUUCCCAUUACAAAGUUUACCAAACAAUAUUCAUCAACAAACACGAUCCAAAUACAAAUACCAAAAACAAAGGUACAAUUAAAGCCUAUACCAACUAGCAAACACACCAAUAUAGAAGUACUAGUACAUGAAACUAAAACUAACUUAGGUACUCUACAAUUUCCUCAUUUUUGGGCAAAAUACGUUCACUGUCAGCUAGCCAGUAUGCUUGUUAAAGCAACUGAGAGUCUGAGUUUGUCGUCUGGAACUAGCUUAUGCAACGGUUGGCAAGCAAUUCCCAGAGCUGGGAACCAAUCUUCGACGUAUAUUGACAGCCACCCUAACUUAAUUCAUGUCACCUUCCUGCAUUAUUAGGCAAAAUAAAAGACUGCCUUCGCAGGCCUUUAUGUAAAGUCCCGGUUUUUAUAGAAGAAAAAAUUGUACAAGAACAUAAAAUCUCGAACUGACUAUAUAGUCUGCAUAACAGAAACUUGCACUAUAAAAAUGUAAUAGCAUACCAUAUUGUUGCCGGAAUGCAGCUUGUUGAUCACCAGUGUUCUAAAAAGCGCAUUAAGCGGCCGUCUAAGCGGGCGCUUAAGCGGAAUCGGAGGGUAAAACGCUUCGAUUUUACAUUAAGCGGGAGAUUAAGCGUUUUUUUAACAUUAAGCGGCCUGUUAAGCGGAUUAAGCGGAUUAAGCGGUCAGAAUGAUUUUGACUUGCUAAUUUUUUAUAUAUAAAUACAAAUAUUUUUUUAUAAAUAUUAUGAAAAUUAUAAUAAAAAAUUAAAAAUAUCUUUUUUAUCAAAAACAUUUUAUGUUUAAAUUCUUAUUACUUAAUUAUUUUAUAAUUUUAAUUAUAUAUAUAAUAUUAUUAUAUAUAAAAUUUUAAAUAUAUAUUAUUAAUCCGCUUAAUCACCCGCUUAAAAUUCCGCUUAAGCGUCCGCUUAUCCGCUUAAGCGCUACAAGGUCACCUCACCGCUUAGGACCGAUUUGCGCUUUUUACAACACUGUUGAUCACACUACAAAGAUGUAGCAGGAAAUCGGAAAUAUUUUGAAGUCUGCAUAAUGAUCAAGUUAAAAAAGUAAGAAAGAGAUAAAAGGGUAUCAUUUCUUAGUGUUAUAUGCAUGAUUGACUAUCUUCCACAUAUUAGGUUUACUUUCCCAUCCAUCUAUGGAUAGAGGGGAAGAAAUACAAUUCUUUUCCAUCAUGUGAAAAAGACAAAUUUUGAAGUUGACAUAAUCCUAUAUCAGAGCAAGAAGUAUGCACUGCUAUGUGCUGAAAAGAUCCAUACAUAAAACCGAUACAACAUUCUAGAGAUUAAACUUUAAACCUGCAAUAUGACUAUAUAAUCAUCAAAAUUGUUCUAGAAAAUAUCACAUGAUCUUCCUCAACUACAUUUUCACAUGACAUAAAUGUCUAAGACCAAAAUGAGAUGAUAAAACAGGAAAAGGUAUGCUUACAGAUGCUUUGUCGUAGGUGCUGAGCCCUACCCGACAGCAACAACAGGAAGACCCUGAAUAUAUUAUUAAAAAAAAAAAGUUCCAUGGACAAGUAAAGCACAAGAAAAUAGUGGAUUAUACCUUAAAUCCAAGCAAAUCGAAGCUACAAUUAAAGUGAAACGCUGUUGAAGCCCUAGUUUCACUGAAGACACAAUUCAAUCGAAGCCCUAAGAAAAAUAAAGACAAAAAAUUAAGAGAAUUACAGUGAAAAGCAAAAUGAAGAAAAAGAACUAUAAACCGGGAGCCCUAAUUCCGCAAAAUAAAGAAGCUCCGAAUCGAAACCCCGAAUGAACCUGAGACCAAGCCUUAAUCCAUUGACAGUUGAGUUUGAGGGGAGAGGAUCCCCGAUUUACCUAAUCGCCGGUGAGUUCGAGCAGAUAGAGGAGUGGUUCAACCGAGAGAGCUGAGGUUCAGGGGAGAUGAGUGAGGUUGAGCGGAUGUGAGGUGAGUGAAAUAUAUUUGACUGAAAUGUGAAAUAUGUCUGAAUGUCUAGUGAAAAGAGACGAGAGGGAAAUUUGCCGCUUUCAAUCUUUUAACACACGCGCAUAUUUCAUUUAUUUGUUUUUAAUUUUUUAAUUUACUUUCAAUUGAUUAAUUAUUUAAAAAUAUAAUUAUUUUAUAUAUUUUAUAUUUUGAAAAAUAUAAUUCAGUUGUAGUAUUAUAAUUUUAUUUAUAAUUAGUUAAUUUCAAAUUAAUGAAUUUUAUUAUAAUUGAUUUUUUUAAGGAGAUAAUAUGAAAAAUAAUUAUAUAUUUCAAAAUUUAGUGAUUUAAUGUUUACUAUACUAUAUUUUAUCAGUUAAUUAUCUAAAAAUAUUUUCAAUCUCCCGCUCCCUUGUUUUCAUUCUAGCCGUUCAAACAUUUCAUUUUUCUGUUACACUUUUUUAAAACCCAACAGUAACACCAAAUAAAAUGUUAUCAUAGACGUCUCAUUACAUCUACGAUUACAUUAAAGUUUACCUAUGGUUACACUAAAAAAAGGUGUAGGCAUAGGUAGAUAAAAUUCAUUUUAAGGCACUUAUGGUAACAUUUCAUCUUGUAACAUCAAAAUUAUUUGUUACAAUAGGCCACUUAUGGUGUAGUGUGCUUCGAUAAAUUUGAUUAUAGAUAAUCAAAUUAAAUAUACUGGAAUCUUCUGAUAUUUGAUACUUGAUCUUCAGACACUCUUGAUAGCAGAAACAUUUUGAACUUUAUUCUUCACUGAGGCUUGAACAUGUUAAUGAACUUCUUCCAGUGGACGGAUGCUCGUCUCAGAUAUCUUGAUUGUCUUUGUCUGUUCGUAUCGAAUCUCCAACCUGUAGAUUCCUGUAUUAUACUUACGUAUUGUUUCCUGUCUUUUGUUGUGUUGAGUUAUCGUAAUUACAUUUACGUUACAUUAUGCUUUACAAUCUCCCCCUAUUUGAUUGUUAGAGUUCGACAAGCAAAUCCUUUAAGAGGAUAACUCAACUGACACAAUGAAAAAGCAUACUAUUUUAAACAGGAAAUAAUACUAAGUACAGUCUGGAUUAUAUCUUACAAUUUCCAGAAAUCAAAAGUAAAUACAAGCAGCCAUUGUUCCUCUAGCCUGAACUAAUCUCUCCUUGGUUUCUUGGCUCUUGCAUUAAUCAGCUUUUGCUCAGCUCUUCUCUUUGCAGCUUCUUCCUCCUCCUUCUGAGUGAGCUUGUUUUCAAUCUCUUCAAUCCUUGCUGUAAUGGUACUCAGUGCCACUUGCUCCUGUGUGUUCUCAGGUGGAGGUUGCUCUAGAUUCUUCUUCAUCUUCUCUAAUGUUUGGACAUGAACCAUUUUCUUCAACUUCUUAAAGGUGACAUUCAUCUCCAUUCCUUCAAUUUUCAUGAUGAUUCUUGAUGGAUGAGCACGAACCCUAGAAGUGUUAUGGACAGUCUCUACAGCCUUUCUUAUCUCCAGAAGGUCAAUCAAAUCUUUGAGCACACUCUUGUCUUCUUUUACAACUGACCACUUAACAGCUGCAACUACACGAAUAAUUCAUUUGGAAGAGAAUUUUCCAAUCUCUGUGAGUGGUAUAGCAGUGAGCUCAGAGUCUUUCUUCUUUUUGAAUAUGACAGAUGUAGGAUUGUAAGCGACAACAGGAGCAUUUGGAUUUUCAGGAAUUUCAGGAUUGAGUGGAGGCAGUGGAUAUGGUGGUUGACGAUUGAUGGCUGAUAGGUCUAAAUCUCUCAGGGCAGCAAAGUUCAGACGAUAAGCAUAUAGCAGUUCAGCAGUUAGUCUUCCCUUGCUUGUCCUUGAGCACUUCUCCCUGACUUGAGCUUCCAGAUAUUUCAGUAUACGAGGAUUGUAUGUUGACAAUGCUUCAUCAGUGAGUCCAAUACUCUGAAUCAUACCAUCCUUGAAAUACUUGAUAACUGAAGGCUUGUCAUGAAUUUCAACUCCAAUAUCAGAGAUCCAUUCUUCCACCAUAUCUCUGAAUAUUUCAUUAUGCUUUUUGCCGGUUGAGAUGAUCUUGUUUCUUACCACAAACAGCUCAGUUAAAGAGAGAUCUCUGAGAAACUGACUUGACACAUGCUUGAGUCCAUGGCCUUCUCUCUGUAGCUCAAAUGAUAUGUUUACCAUCCAUCCUCUCCUGGGAAGAACAGCAACAGACACAGUAGAAAUGAUAUCAUUUAACACCUCGUGAUAAUCAUGUAAAUCCUUGUAAUUGUUCCUGAAGGAGUCAAAGAUAUCUUUCACUUCGUCAUCAUUGUUUUCUUGAGUGACCUCUGGAAAAUCAAACACAGAUCUAGCAAUGUCCCAUUCAGCUCCAUCUUUAUGUAAGUUGGCAAGUCUCCUUUCCCUUCGAAUUCGUCUUUGAUUUUCUAACUUCUCCCUUGCUCUCCUUUGCUCAGCAUAAUCCCUAGAAACAUCAGCAAUAUCUUGUGGAUUUGCAAUUUCAAAUUCUUCAGGAGGGAAGAUGUCAUUGUGAUAUGCAAGUUCAUCAGCAAAGACUUCAUUGUCUGGGAUUUCUCCUUCUUCAAGAUCUUCAUUCUCAGCACCAACCAUCCUUAUCACUCUGUCAUCCACAAACUCAGGGAUGUAUUCAUCAUGACUGUAACUGAAUUGAUGUUUAAGAGCAGAAUCAAUCAGUUCUUCAGACACCCCUGUGAUCACCCUUUUUCCUUUUGCUUUUUCUGCUGCUCUCUCCCCCUCAGUUGAGUAAUCCUCUCUGGAAGGUUGAGAUGCCAGCAACUUAGCUUCAAGAGCAGCCAACCUUUGCUCCAUAGUAGACUUAAUCUCCACCAACUCCUCCCGUAGAACAAGAUUUUCAGCUUCAAGAUGUUGAACUUUGAAUUUCAGAGCUUCAAAUUCUGUCACAGAUACAGUUGGAAUUAGUGUAGGUUGGGCUGUUGGGUGCUCACUUGUUCAUUCUGUAGGUGUUUCUCUCGUUUCACUCAAAGCUAGAACACUCAGUGGGUCAGAGGGUUUCUGUAUAUCAAGUUCUGUUAGUGUUUCCCUCUCACUCAAAGAAGUUCCAGCAGCUUUAGAUGUACCUGCAGAAGAAAUCUUCUUAGCCUCUUCUAGAGAGGUCACAGAAGGUGCAAUGAAGGUUCGUGAGCCUUCGUCCUCAGUUUCCUCGUCAGAUGAAUCUGAGUCAUUAGAAACAAGUUGCCAACUACUCGAAGGUAGUGAGUCCUUUGAUGGAUCCUGAGUUGGAAUCUCAGGGUGGGUAGACACAGGGCUCGAAGGAUGUGAUCCUUGAAUAGGCGAAGCACCCUGGUUUCCCACAACUGCCUUUGACGGCGAAUGACUUUGUGACAAGUCCUCUAUAACUGGCACACUUCCUGAUAUGAAGGGCUCAGAAACAGAUUGCCGUUCACCUUCGAGAGGUGAAGAGUCCUUUGAAGGAUCUGGGAAUGUUCCUCCCAGGGGGGUAGACAAGGAUGUAGAAUGUGGCAAUUCAUCCAAGUUUCCCCCAGAAGCCUGUGAAGGCACUUGACCCUGAAUAGGAUCAGAAACAACAGUGUCUAUCCCUGACAUGGACGACAAAGUGUUAGCAACCGUCAAUUCUUCAACUGUGUGUGCAACCUCACUGUGCAUUGUAAUAUCAUGUGGCUGAGGUGGUGAAGAAAUAGACAUAUCUGCAGUUGUCUCAGGUUCUAUUCUCCUUUCCUGACUAGGAGACAGAGUUGCAGUUUCAGAAACAACCUCCUUUUGUGGUGCACUUAAGGCACUUUCUCCCUCUCUCUCAGAAAUAAUAAGUGGUUGGCUGAGGGGUUGAGAAGUUUCUGCUUCAAGUGUCUGUGAAGUGGUGCCUUGGUUAUGAAUUUGGGGGAUUUCAAAUUCAUUGGCACUAGUGAUAGGUGGUGAAAGCUGAUUGGAAUCCAAAAGAUUCUGAACCCAAGACAGGUUGUCAAAGUCAGAAGGGAUACCUGACUGUAGCAGUGGAUUGUAAGUGUUGGUGAAGAGUUCAUCAAUAUCCAUCAUCACAUCAGCUGCAGUGGUUUGAACAGGAGUAUUCACUUCAUCCUCAGAAUCAGUAGAAUUAUCCUGUAAUGAAUCCUCUCCUUCAGAUUGAGCAUUGUCAUCUGAGGAUGUCUGUGCAUCUUCCAUUAUCACUUCCUCUUCCAUUUGAGAAGUUUGAGUCUCAGGGAUAUUAGCUUGAUGAGAUGACUCAGUGACUUCUUCAGCUUGUGUUUCAGGGGCCUCCUCUUCCUGAACUACUGGAUCAGCAACAUUCUGAUUAUGUGGUGGAGGCAGGUUCUGGUUGUUUAAGAAUUCUUGCAUUGCCUCUGUAAGAACCACAUCCUCAUUGUUGGUGUAGUUCUGAUGGUUCUCCAGCAUAGAUAUCACCCUUGUAGUCAUGAAAGAGCAUAUGACAUUGUCUAUAUUAGGAUAGACAGCUCUUUCAGCAGGAGUCAGCAGUUGGUUCAGCACUAUUUGGAAGAACCGAGGAUAAAGAAGCACAUUCCUGUUCUUCCUUAAGGAGUCCUGAAAAGCUCCCAUGAUUAAAUGUCCCAGAUUUAUCCUUGUGUUCUGUGCUAUUGCAAUUCCUAUUUCCUGGUUGAAGAUAGUAAUUCCAUGGAACCCUCCAGUCUUUGGUGCAAAUACAUGAGAAAUGGAAUUAAAGAAGAAAUUCCAUUCUCUGGGUAAAUGCUUGACGUACAUCUUUCCUGGAAGAUCACCAUUCUCCCUCUGGCAGUGAAUAGCAAAGAAAAAGUUUGUCCUUUCAGCCCUAUCUGGAACAGCUUCAAAGUUCUCUGUUGGAAGUUGCAGAGCAGUGUUCAGGGUGUUUUCAGUAAUUGAUAGUGUUCGUCCCUGAAUUUGACAAGUAAUACCAAGUACCUGUCCUGCAUUCACAACAGAAAUAGAAGACAAGAAAUCUCGUAGAAGAGAUUUGUUAAGAUAUACUGACUCUGUCAUAGCAAAUCUAGCAAAUGAAUAUUCUGACAUAUAUCUAACCCAACGUCGAUAAUUCGCUUGCGUAAUUAAAUUAUUAUUCUCAACAAUUGUGAAAUUUGUUUUCGGAAUCUCAAAAUUUGCAGCCAUUUUUAAUUAAAAUUAAAAAUGAUUAUAAAUUUCGUUUCACGAAUAAACACGAACAAAUAUUCACUUUAUGUCACGAAAAUAAUUAAUUAAUAACGCUCCGUAAAACCCUAAUUCCGAGAAUUUCAGAUUUCGAUGAAAUUAAAGUAUGUUGUACUUCUUGAAAUUCUAAGAAUAAUGGUAUCGGUUUCGCAAAUUAUCGAUGCUAAAAUCACGAACAAAACUAGCCUAGAAGUCCAAGAGGUUCGAAAAACCCUUACGAAAAACGAUCACGGAUCGUAAAAAGGUUCGGAUCAAAUGAAAGCCCUCGUCUCAAGGAAUCUAAAACAGGUCUUGAAAUCAAAAAUGGGCAAGGAUUCAGGAGUGUUUUGUUCGAUUAAGAACUCUCGACUCCGUGAAAUUGAGAGAGGCAGUGGUGGUUUCUCGACUGUGUAUAUAUGUGUAUGUAUUAGAAUUAACGAGAAAAAGCCUAAGUGUUCCAUAUAUAUGGUCAGGAGAAGGGGAGGCGCAACUUGGUUAUUUACCAAGUUGCCCUCCAUACUGAAUACAGGGAAACAGUCCUGGCGCACGUAUGGAAAGGACGAUAUUACCCUCCAUACAUGAAUGUAUGAGGCGCAAACUCACACUUAGAAUAAAUUCUGAGAACUAUAAACAUAUAUACAUAUCUACAGCGCAUAGGCGCAACUUUUGACCGAGUCAAAAGUUGCGCCCCCCUCAUUACAACUAGACUUAGAGAAAUUUUAGAGAAUUUCUCAUACAGGCACAGCUAUAUGAAUAGUGGCGCAACUUUUGACUAAGUCAAAGGUUGCGCUACAGUUCAAUAUAGACUCGAAAACAAAUUGAGUUUGAUAAUUUGACAUAUUUGUUUCGAUAUAAAACAAUUUUGUAAAUUAUCAAACGGAAAUCACAAUAACUUAAAUAAAAUUUAACCGAAUAAGAUUCAGUUAGACAAAUUUAAGUAAUUAUGCUGCAAGUAAUUUAAUUAAAAUUUAAUUAAUGGUCAACUUAAAAUAAUUUGAAUUGCUUCAAAUCCAUUAAUCAAAUAUAAUUAAAAUAUGAAUUAAAUAAACACUGAUAUUCAUUAAUUGAAUAUAAGCACUUAAAUAAUUCAAGACAAUUAAUUCUAAAUAUCUACCAUUUAGCAAUUAAUCACAUAAUCAUAUAAAGUCAUGCAGAUCAUAUAAGUCAUGGCAAAUAAUUAAAACUAAUUAACAAAUAAUUAUGUGAGAUACUGGAUGCACUUUGUAAAUUCACAAGUCCUGAAAAUAUGUACAUUUUAAAACUUGUGAACUUACGAACAAAUUGCAGUUAUUUCUUGUCUAAUUAAUUAGACAUAUUUAACAUCCCAAGUUCACCAACCAGUCUAGAGAAAGUGGAUUCGUCUAGUGGUUUAGUGAAGAUGUCUGCAAUUUGUUGAUCAGUAGGUACGAAGUGUAAGUCUACUGUUCCAUUCAUAACAUGCUCGCGAAGAAAAUGAUACCUGAUAUCAAUAUGCUUUGUCCUGGAGUGUUGAACAGGAUUGUUGGCAAUGGCAAUGGCACUCGUGUUAUCACACAGAAUCGGAAUUUUAUCCAACAUGAGUCCAUAAUCUUGUAGUUGAUUCCUCAUCCACAAGAUUUGAGCACAGCAACUUCCAGCAGCUAUGUAUUCAGCUUCCGCUGUAGACGUAGACACGGAGUGUUGCUUCUUGCUAUACCAUGACACCAACCUUCGUCCAAGAAACUGACAGCUUCCUGAAGUACUUUUCCUAUCAAUCUUACAUCCUGCAAAGUCAGAAUCUGUAUAGCCAAUCAGAUUAAAACCUGUAUCUUUAGGGUACCAAAUCCCUAGAUUGGGGGUUCCCUUAAGAUACCUAAAAAUACGCUUAACAGCUAUAAGAUGUGACUCUUUAGGAUCAGCCUGGAAUCUAGCACAUAAACAAGUUGCGAACAUGAUAUCUGGUCUACUAGCAGUUAAGUAUAAGAGAGAGCCAAUCAUACCUCGAUACUUCGUGAUGUCAACUGACUUACCAGAUUUGUCCUGAUCAAGUUUGACAGCAGUUGGCAUAGGGGUUUUGGCAGGAGAUGCUUCUUCCAUUCCAUAUUUCUUCAGAAGAUCCUUGAUGUAUUUAGAUUGGCAGAUAAAAAUACCGUCAGGCUUCUGAAUGACUUGAAGUCCUAGGAAGAAGGACAAUUCUCCCAUCAUGCUCAUCUCAUACUUGCUCUGCAUUAACUUAGCAAAUCUCUCGCACAAAAGAUCAUUAGUAGAACCAAAUAUAAUGUCAUCGACAUAUACUUGUACAAGAAUUAUAUCAUCCUUAUGCUUUUUAUGGAAAAGAGUUUUAUCGAUGAUACCUCUGGUGAAACCAUUUUCAAGUAAGAACUUGGAAAGAGUGUCAUACCAGGUUCGAGGGGCUUGCUUCAGGCCAUAGAGUGCUUUGAAGAGAAAGUAUACGAAGUCUUCAAAUUCUUUGUCUUCAAACCCAGGGGGUUGUUCAACAUAGACUUCCUCUUCCAGAUCACCAUUCAGGAAUGCACUUUUCACAUCCAUCUGAUAUACUUUGAAGUUGGAGUGUGCAGCAAAUGCUAAGAACAUCCUGAUUGCUUCAAGCCUAGCAACUGGAGCAUAGGUUUCAUCAUAAUCAAUUCCUUCUUCUUGUGAAUAACCCUUUGCAACCAGUCUUGCCUUAUUCCUCGUAACAAUACCAUCUUCAUCCAGUUUGUUUCUAAAAACCCAUCUAGUGCCAACUAUAGAUUUUCCUUUAGGUCUUGGCACCAGCUUCCAAACUUUCUGCCUUUCGAAUUGAUUGAGUUCUUCCUGCAUUGCAGAUACCCAAUCUGGAUCACUUAGAGCCUCUUCAACUUUCUUUGGUUCUGUCUGAGACAAGAAUCCAGCAAAGUUGCAUUCAUUCUGAGUUGCUCUUCUAGUCUGCACUCCUGUGUCUGGAUCACCAAUGAUUUGUUCAACAGGAUGGUCUCUACUCCAUACCCUUUGUCUUGGCAGAUUCAAUCUUGAUGAUUCACCAAAAUCAUAGUUGUGUUGAGUGUGAUGACUAGUGGAUCCACUUUGACUUACUCCCCCUGAGCUGAUGUAGAUUCUAUUUGAUGAUCCUCCACUUUGACCACUGUGACCAUGAUGAUCAUUUGUAUUGUUGCCAAUACUUCCUCCAGAUGGUUCAGGAUCAGCAUUUCCUUCAUUUGUAUUAGGUUCCCUUAUAUCAGCUUCAGGUUGAUCUUCUCCUAAAUAGAUGUCUUCUAAAUUCUCAAACUCCAGAGAAUCAGAUUCAUUUUCCUUUUGGAGACUUGGGAGUUUGGUAUCAUCAAAUCUUACAUUGAUGCUUUCAAUCAGCUUGUCGUCAUUGAUCAGAUAAACCCUGUAGGCCUUAGACUCCAAAGAAUAACCCAGAAAUAUGCCUUCUUCAGCUUUGGCAUCAAACUUUCCCAAAUGCUCUUCUUUUAACACAAAGCAUUUUGCACCAAACACAUGAAAGUAACUCAGUGAUGGUUUUCUGUUGGCCAUUACUUCAUAAGGAGUCUUAUCCAAAUCCUUGUUAAUCAGGGUACGAUUUUGAGUGUAGCAAGCAGUGCUUACAGCUUCAGCCCAGAAAUAGAUUGGAAGUCUUGAUUGACUAAUCAUAGUCCUUGCUGCUUCAAUCAAGGUUCUGUUCUUCCUUUCUACGACACCAUUUUGUUGUGGAGUCCUUGGAGCUGAAUACUGACGAGAGAUGCCCUUAUCAGUACAGAAGUCAUUAAGAACAGCAUUACGAAAUUCUGUUCCAUUAUCUGAUCUGAUUGCCCUUACUGGCAGAUCUGCUUCCUUUUCAAUCUUCUUGAUAUGAUCAAUGAUGACGAGUGCUGCUUCAUCCUUUGUAUGUAAGAAUAAUACCCAUGUGUAUUUUGAGUAGUCAUCGACGAUCACAAGAGCAUAUCUUUUCCUUGAUAUAGGAGGAAUGUUGACUGGUCCAAACAGAUCCAUAUGAAUCAGUUGAAGGGGUGAACCAAUGUCAGUCAUGCCUUUGCUCCUGUGUGAUGCUUUCUUUGACUUCCCUUUUUCACAUGCAUCACAGAGUCCUUCUUGACAGAAUUCUUUCUGUGGCAAUCCUCUCACAAGUUCCCUUUUGACUAAAGAGUUCAUAGUCUUAAAGUUCAAGUGUGAGAGCUUCCGAUGCCAUAACCAACUAUCAUCAGCAGAGGCCUUGGUGUAGAAACACUUGACCUCCCCCUUACUUGCUGAGUCUAUGUCGGCUAUAAACAAACUUGAUUUUCUUACACCACGGAGUGUAAGAUCCUUGUUCUUCCGGUUCUGGAUUAAGCAAACUUCCUUCUGAAAGAUUACGUCGUAUCCUUUGUCACAGAACUGACUGAUACUCAGUAAGUUGUGCUUGAGUCCUUCCACCAGAGAGAUAUCUUCAAUGAUGACAUUUCCAACUUUCAGCUUACCAUAUCCCGUUGUAAAUCCUUUGCUGUCAUCUCCAAAGAUUACAAUUGGGCCGGUUCUCAUCACCACAUCUGUGAGCAGGGACUUUUCUCCAGUCAUGUGUCUUGAACAACCACUAUCAAGAACCCACACAACUUUACUUUUCCUUCCUGUGCCCUGCAUUCACAAAUGGAUUAAACUUUCUUUGGUACCCAGACGUUCUUGGGUCCAGGUGAUUUAGUAGAAACAGGAUUAUCAACAGAAACUGGUUUAACAUGUGCUUGUUCAGGGGUGACUGGACUCUUCUCCUUUUUAGUCUUAGCAGAAGUGCUUUUAGACUUGGAGUUGGGAGUUUCCUUCUUCUUAGAAGGACUAGCAGUCUUUGCCACAGGGGCAACAGAAGGUGCAGGCAUAUUCAUAUUCAUGGUAGAUGGUGCAUAAAAAGAUGCAUUCAACAUGGUAAAACAUGCAGACAUCAUAUUCAUAGCACAUAGCAUGCAACCUACUCUACCACAUGGCAAAUGAACAGCAUUCAUGUUAACAGUAUUAGGCAUGCUAGAAACAGAAUUAUCUACUUUAAUCACUUUACAUGCAUGAGUAAGAUGAUUAGUAGAAUUGCAAUUAUUACAAACCUUUCUAGCAUUAGAAUUCCUAGAAUUGGUGUUCUUAGGAUCUAACUUGCCAUUCCUGUUGUUCUUCUUUUUGUUGGAACUAGUACUUCCUAAUCCAGUUUUAUCUGAGUCAUCUCUGACUUGGGAAUUAGAAGGUACAUCUUGUGAUUCCUGUUUUACUUGAGGCUUAACAACUUCCUCAUUUUUCAACUCUUCCUUGAUGACAAGGUCUUCUUCUAUCAGAGGUUCUGUUUGUGCCAUUCUAAAGAUAGGGGUCUUGGUGUUCUUCAGAAUUUUAGGUAUAUUUGUUCCUUCAGGAGCAUUCUCAGUUCCUGCUGAAACAAAUAUGCCUUCAUUCUCUUUUCUCUUCUUUCUUUUAGCUCUUUCCAAAGAACUAUAGUCAAGGCCAAUAGCAACCUUCUUAUCAACCCUUUGACUAUCCAAGAUCUCUUUCUGUAGAAAAGCAGAAUUCUGAUAGGCCCUAAGCUUAGUUUCUAGGUCAGCAAUCUGAGACCUAAGGGACUCCUCAAUUUCUGCACUACACUUCUCCUUAUUCUCUAGAUAUUCAAUUCUAUCUUUAAGGUUAGUGUUCAUGAGUUUCUCUAAAGCUAAUUCAUCUACUCUUUCUUCAAGUUUAGCUAUCUUUAGAGAAAGACUACAGUUAUCUGAUUCUGAAGCUAAUAAACUAGUGUGCAAGUUAUACAUCUCUUGACCUAGUUCAUUUAUAGUCUUUUUAUAAUCAGCAGUAGUCAUGUCAUCAACAGAAAUUUCAGGAGAUACCUGAGAUGGAGAUUCCUCGACAGUGUCAGCCAUUAAUGCAAAUGCAUAAUUGCUCUGGACAGGUUCAUCAUCAGAAUCUGUGUCAUCCCAGCUUUUUCCCUCAGCAAUGUAAGCCCUUCCUUUGUGCUUGGCCACCAUUGCUUCCAACUUAGCUUUUAGCUUCUCAUUCUCUUUCUUCAGAUCCUCAUAAGAAUUCUUCUUAUCAUAUGAGUUGCUUCUGACAGGAGCUGCUUUGGGUUUCCUGCACUCUGUUGCAAAGUGCCCUAAGUCAUUGCAGUUGUAGCAUCUGACCUUGCUCUUGUCAUACAUGUUUGGUUUGAAACUGCCAGUACUCUUUGACCCUGACCCUGAGUAUCCUCCUUUACCCUGAAACUUGUUCCCUGAAGCUUUCUUGUACCGGGGGUUCUUUCUGAACUUGAUAUGCUUGAACCUUGCAGCCAUAUAAGCCAUUGACUUAUCUUCCAGCUGCUCCAGCUCUUCUUGAGUGUAGAACUCAUCCUCCGGUUCAUCAGAAACUUCAUCAACUUCAGCUUCUACAAUCUCAGUAAUGGUAGAAGGAUAGUCAGCUUUGAUGGAUGAACAAUCACUCUGAGCAACAGUGUGAUCAUUGAUACCAUAUUCAACUAAUUGUUGAUAACCAAAGUAUGGUUGAUCAGCAAUAAGUGCAGUGGUCUUCUGUAAGGCCAUACUCUUGGAUUCUGUUGAUCCACCACCAUAUAUGAUCUUUCUCUGUUCAAGUUCCAUCUCAAACGUCUUCAGUUUUCCAAACAGCUUUUCCAAAGUCAUAGUUCUGAAGUCGCUUCUUUCCCGGAUGGUCUCUGUCUUUACAACUAGAUGGGGUGGCAUCACAAAUGAGAACUUUCUGUUAAUCUCUUUCUGUGGAUAAGUCUUUCCAUGCAGGGUGAGUUCAUUCAACAACAACAUGAACCUCUCAUAGAUUUGAGAAAUGUUCUCUCCAGGUAUUGCCUGAAAUGCUUCAUAUCUGGCAAUUAGCAUAUCGUAUCUGUUUUCCCUGACUUCUUCAGAUCCCUCCAUCAAUGCCUCAAUAGUGUCCCACAUCUGCUUUGAAGUUUUCAGACUUAGUAUCAGAUGUGUCAUUGUCUUGGUCAUUGAUUCAACAAUUAUGAGUUGCAGAUUAUGAUCCUGUGCAACAUAUUCCUUAUCAGUGUCAGUGUAUUCACUUUUCUCUUUGGGAACAGACUUCUGUGGAAUACGAACACCAUUUUCAACAGAUUCAGGAAUAAUCUUCAUAGGCACAAAUGGACCAUUUUCCAGAAUCCCAAUGAACAUGGGAUUAGCAACUCUGAUGUACAGCAACAUCUUCAUCUUCCAGUUGUUGUAGUCAUCCUUGUCAAAUGGAGGUACUUUGAUUCCUAACUUGUGUGUCGACAUUGUUAUCAGAUAAAAUUACGAUUGUACGGACAGCUAGCUUUUCAGAUUGGUUACGGAUCUCAGAUCUGUAUAUCGAUCAGCUAAGCUCUGAUACCAAUUGUUAGGUCCAAUCAGACGUAGAAGGGGGGGGUUGAAUACGUCGUACCAAUUUCUUCGAUUUAAUUUAAUUGCGGAUAAUCUUUUUUUCAGUCCAUGUUAAAUCAAUCGUAAAUAAAUAACUCCAGCAAGUCGGGGAAUAUUCUUGUAUUAGAAAUAAUCCUCGGGUGCUACAAAUUCCAACACAAGUGUCGGCUGCAGAGACUACAAUCACUCUAUUACAAACUCUCGAUAAAUACGAUCUUCUAAUUUAACUCUCGAGAAUGUGUAUAGUGUGUGCACUUACAAAGUGUGUAGUUGUUUUCAAAUGAAAACACAAAGCUCUAUUUAUAGGCUUUCCAACAACUAACCAUGGUUAACGAGUUCGUCCUGGACGACUUGAGUUCGUCCUGGACGGAUUCGUUUUAUAAAAAUAAAACUAACUCCAAAUGCAUACCAAAGUUGCGCCACUGACCAGUGGUAGUCAAACCUUGCGCUUUGACUUCAUCACAGUAUAUGAUUUGUAAUACUUAGAAUAAAUUCUAAGUUGUGCUAACUUGAGAGGUCAAACAUGGCGCCUUACAUGGUCAAUGGUUGCGCCAGGAAGUAGUAGAGUGCAGGAGUCAAAGUUUGCGCCCUUCUUGGUCAAACAUUGCGCCUUACCAUUGUGACAUCAGUACAUGUGACUUAGAAGAAAUUCUAAGUGAAUUUUCUGUGUCAUUGUGACUUGGAGUCGCAAACUUUGACCAGUCAAAGUUUGCGCCCCAAGUUGCGCUUGUACAUCAUAUGCAGUGUGUGGUACUUAGAAUUAAAACCAAGGAGUUUUGCUGGGGUUGACCUGAGUCAAAGUUUGCGCUUUGACUCUUGGUCAAACCUUGCGCUGGGUGCUCCUGUGAAAUGCCUUAGACAAAUUCCAUGUUUUGAUCUUGCUUCUUGUUUUGUAUACUAAUUAAAUAUACAUAUAUAUAUAAAUAAUUGUGUUAACUUAAUUACUUGAAUUAUUUAAAUUCAAAUAAUUCACAAUUAAUAUAUAUAUAUAUAUAUCUAAUUAAUAAGAUCCUUUUGGCAAUAUAUCCUGGAGCAGCUCGAUUGACUUGAUCAAUUAAUUCGUUGGUCGAAUUCACUGAAUACUUUCGUACGUCCUGACGUCCUGUGCACUGGUCUGGUUCACGAACGACUCGAACUGAAAUAAUUCUUUGAAUCCUUUGCUUGAUAAUAAACUUGAUCAGUCAUUCCGGGUUAGUUUAUGCUUCAGUUUGUUGAUUAUAAAUAACCAACCAAGAUAUAUAGAAAUAUCUUGCUUCAGGGGUUGCACUGAAAUCUUUCGAGUACUUGGACAACAUCUUCAUUGCUUCCACAAUCUUGAAUACUUCAAUCUUUAUUCUUCACUGAGGCAUGAACAUAUUAAUGAACUUCUUCCAGUGAACUUAUUCCUUCAAGACUGUAGAU
rnacentral:lncRNA from 1 species